AAGGAGACAUUUCCAGCAAAAGAGGGGGGAAAAGAGAGCAGGCAAAAACAAACGCGGCCGUCCCUUGCACAGUAGCAGCCGCCGUGCCGUGCCCUCACCGAACCCCUCCCCGCUUCGCCUCCUCCGCCCAAAUCUCCAAAUCGCCGCCUCCGAUCCGCCCGCGGUCCUCGAUCCGCCGCCGCCAUUGACCCUUCCAGAAUGGCCUCUGGGCCGCCGUCGCCGUCCGGCAAAGCCUACUCCCGCAAAUCCCACGGCCCCCACGCCAGCUCCAAGGCCCCCAGCGUCCCCUCCUUCGACGCGCACAACGGCCCGCUCCUCCCCACCGUCACCUUCUCGCUGCCCUCCACGCCCGCCUCCCGUCGCGAGCUCCGCCGCCGCCUCUCUGCCGAGCUCGCACAGGUGCGCGCCGCCUCCAAGCGCCUGAACUCUCUCCCAGCGCCCGCCCCCUCCUCGGCCCUGUCCGCUACUGACCCCUCCACCCCGCUCCCGCCGCACCCGCCGGCUUCCAAGCACAAGUCCAAGAAGGGGGGAGCCCCGCACCCGGCCCUCUCGGCGGAGGCGCGGCGCAAGCUCUACGCGCCCAUGUUCAAGAGCUGCGGCGCGCUGCUCGCCAGGCUGAUGAAGCACAAGCACGGCUGGGUGUUCAACAAGCCGGUCGACGCCAGCGCGCUCGGUCUGCACGAUUACCACACCAUCAUCACCAAGCCCAUGGACCUCGGCACAGUCAAGUCAAAGCUAGCGGCCGAGCACUACAAGUCGCCACGGGAAUUCGCUGGGGAUGUGCGCCUGACGUUUCAGAACGCCAUGACAUACAACCCCAAGGGGCAGGAUGUGCACUUCAUGGCCGAGCAGCUGCUGAACAUGUUUGAGGAGAAGUGGCCGGAGAUCGAGGCUGAGUUAGCGCAGCUAUCACCUCAGCCUCCUACACCAUCGUCGGCUGCACCUCGGAAACCUAGGGAGAUAGAUAAUUCUAGGGUGUUAGAGAGGUCGGACUCGACAGUCCAUGCUGCAGGGAUGGAGGCUACACCAAAGCCACACACUGGCAAACCCCCUGUUUUGAAGAAGCCCAAGGCAAGGGAGCCUAAUAAGAGGGAUAUGACCUUUUGGGAGAAGCAGCGGCUUAGCAAUAACCUCCAGGAUUUACCACCAGAGAAGCUAAACAAUGUUGUUCAGAUCAUCAAAAAGAGGAACUUAUCACUCAGCCAGCAUGAUGAUGAGAUCGAGGUUGAUAUAGAUAGCUUUGAUGUUGAGACAUUAUGGGAGCUUGAUAGAUUUGUAACAAACUAUAAGAAGAGUGUAACUAAGAAUAAGCGGAAAGCUGAGGCUGAGCUUUCCGUGGUAAGGCCGGAUGAAGCUGAGCAUGAUCAGGAGCUGGAGAAGAUAGAGCAUGUGAGGCAUGAUGAGGCAGAUCAGGAUCAGAUUCCGACACUACAAGAGCUGAUUCCAGAACCAGAAGCAGUUGAUGUUGAACCACCUAAGGAAAAUGCAGCAGAUGACAAUGAAAGAUUUGUGGGUUCAUCAUCAUCACCGGUUCAUUUGGAAGACCAGAAGGGAGAGAAUGCUGCUAGAUCAAGUAGUUCUGGAAGCUCUACCAGCGACUCAGGCUCCUCCUCAAGUGAUACGGACACAGAUAGUUCGUCAGCAGAUGGCUCUGAUGCUGCACAGUCACCAAGAACGUAGCAUCCAUAGCUCAGGUUUGUUGGGUAUCCUCUCCCACUCGUGCGGCCCUGUCGGUGGAAGACCCGUGAUGGGCCCCGACAUGAAGAGGCGACAACGGCGGCGUGAAUACCCGGUGACAGUGGCGUGAAGAUCCGCGGCAUGGCGAGCAGACGGCGGCAAGGCCAUGGCGAUAGGAUCUGAGCCGAGCACCGGCGGAGAGAGGCCCCGACGGCGGCGCACGUGCUGCGGCGGGCGGGAGGAGCCGCGACGGUGGGAUGAGGCGGCGACGACGACAUAAAGAUUUGGCUUGGAUCGGAUUAGAGGAGCAAGCCUGGAUCGGCGGCGGAACACAUCACCAUGAAGAUGCGUGGACGAACGCACCGAGCCGAGGCCCUAGAUGGAAACCCCGGUGGCGACGGCGGGAUCAACGGCCAGCGGAUAAGCAGCGAUAGGAAUGCAGGUGAACCCGACAACAGGGCGGGCGGGGGACGGGCGCGAAGCCGGUAGGCGAGAGGAAGCCAACAGACAGUAGAGAGAAAAGCUGGCAUGGAGAGAAACCGAUGGGCAGAUGUUGAUGUGAGACUAGAAAGGUCAUAACUCAGUUUCACAAAAAGAUUCUAGCGUGAAAUUGUCGGCGAGAUUGUUGUAAAUUUUGGUUAUGUAGGAACUCUAACCAAUGCCAUGUUGUUGUUUUGGUCUCAUAUUGGAUGCCCGAGAUAGCACGUGCACCUAUGCAUUUGUACCAUUUCUUAUUGUAGAGUGUUACCUAGUUGUCGAGCUGGAAGUUAUCUCACACUGGAUAGAAGAAACCUGCAAGCAAAUUGGGGCAGUAAAACAAAUACCGGUGAGGUGAAGACCAGGAACCUGGAGGCCUCGCCCUGUUGUAAGAUUGUACAAUUUGUUGUAGUUGUGUAAUUUCUGUUAGUGUUGCAUUAGAAUUGAUCAUUUGUCUCUC